UUACCAAACACAAUUUUUGUUUGAAGAAACCCAACACGGCGGUAUGUUCUGAAGUCGUGGUAUCGUCAUCAUCUCAAUUUUUCAAUGCAAAUCUCUAGAAGGCACUUUCUACAAAUCUUCCAACAGGUCCAGAGUCAUGACAUUUAAAGCCAUCGCUCAGCUAUUUAUCCUGGGCUGUCCUCGGGGCCUUGGUUUUUUUAUGGUUGAAGAAGUCGGGGAGACAAUCAGAUCAGUCGUUGCCUACGCAUUCAGCAUCAUCAAUGUCCUGCAGGGGGGUUUUCUCUUUGUGAUACACUGUCUCCUUAAUCGCCAGGUGCGAAUGGAAUACAGGAAAUGGUUUACUGGGAUGAGGAAAGGGGUUGAAAUUGAAAGCACUGAAGUGUCUCCCUCAACUACCCACACCAAAAUGUAGGAGGAACUGGGGAAGUCAUCAGAAUCCUAUCGCAGAAGAGACGCUGCGUCUGUCCAACCACAGCCUCAGAUUCAUCUUGUCACUGUUUCUUGGCAAAGAACAGGAAGCUGAGCUGUUUAUGGUCGGCGCCCCACCCGUGGUCACAUAUGGAUGAGACCAACGCCACCAUCCAUCUUUCCUGUGAAAAUGAGUGCUGACAUAUUCCUCUAUUUUGGCUUCUAUCUCCAUAGAAAGAAGGGGGCACAUGGGAGAAUUCUUAGAUCCAGAAUCCAGUAUUGUACAUCACGUGCAGUUAAAUGCUCAAAGAAUCCUUUCUAAUGACGAGGGAAAUAAGUGGAUCUUCUUCUUCUAGCUGUUACCAUCUUGUCCAAAGCUGAUUGGCUGACAUCUAGAUUCAGCUCACAAAUGCCUCUCUGGCCUCUGUGUUGCAUUUAAUGCUCCCAAAGAUCUUGCAUCACUGAAUAUUUGCAUAACUUAAUAAUUCCAUAAGAAUAAAUAUAAAAAGGGGGUUGCAUUCUUGCAAUGCAAAAGUACACCACUAUCCCUGCUUAGGGGUGCAUAGUCACUGGGAAGCAUCUUGUGGUCUGAUCAUCGGCACUUCCCUGGUUUCAUUGCCUGAUGACUUUUUGGAACCUAGCCUAUACCCUGGUUAAACAUAAUUUUGUUUUCUUAGUGUCAUCUCGAACAUGUCCUCGUGUAAAUGCUCCCAAACUAAAACAGCUUGGAGUAUCACAGCAGUGGUUUGGCCUUAUUUUCUUUGUUUUACCAUUUCUAAUUUAUUUUCUAAACUUAUUGGAUUUUAGGCAUGUUUUUCAGCACUAUAAUUACUAAAUGCCUGGAUAACUUUGUUACUAGACAAUGUUUUAAAAACAGUGUUAGAUUACAACAAUGGUAAAUGUUAAAAUAGCAGCCAAGAGAAGCCAUAAUUCAUUUGAAGAAAUUUUGUGUUCAAAUUUUAGGUCCUGGACAAAGGAUUGCAUUGCUUUUCUGCUUCACCAGCUCAAGUGUCUCCCCCACAUCACAGCAAUAUAACCAGAGUGUAUGAUUCACUCCACCUGCUGGUUUUUAAAUGAUGUGAUUCCUCUUGAAAAGGUAAAAUUUAGGGAGAUUCACGCGGUUUCAAAAUGUGUGCCUGCAUUGUGACUUUAUAUCAUGCAAUUUCAAAUUUACACCAGUAAAACUUGCAUACAAUGCAACCUUUUUCAGGAGGACAAUUUGGCACUGACUAUCCAAAUCUAAUAUUUUGAUACAUAAUGCUUUCAUUUAAAAAUUCCACUGCUAGGAAUUUAGCCUAAAGAUAUUGUGAUAAGGGCAUUUAUAAAUACAGGGUGAUAGGAUAUAUAAAUUCAGAGUGAGGUGAUAUAUUCUAUCUCCCUGAAUUAUUUGCUGUGGUGUGUUGGGUGGAGGAAAAAGGAGCACCUGGUCUGUAAACAUGUUACCUUAAGCCUGUAAAUGCAUGUACAGUCCACUAGGCUCUCACACCCAAAGAGAAGCCAAGCUGGCCUGGCUUAUCCUGCCAGCCACCAAACACUGGACAACAAAGGCAUUGGUCUCGCUGAGUCUCUCUGGAGUGUACUGGACCACUUCAUGUGUGCCUCCAGGUCACUAUGAGCCCCUUGCACUGCUUAACCCAUGACCAAAGGUUUGCCUUGAUGCAUCAGUAGGGAGCACACAGUGGCUAAAGGCCAAGAAAGACUAAUCAAAUCCUGUGAAUAAGGCAGCACAGGGCUUUCAUUAGCUCAUUGUUGCUUAUUUGAUCAAUUCACUAAUUGUUUGCUAACUUAUUGAAUGAGAAUAAAUGUGUGUAUGGCAAUAAACAAGUGACUCACAA